UACGGGGGGGGUAAGCGUUGUUCGGAAUUACUGGGCGUAAAGGGCUCGUAGGCGGCCAACUAAGUCCGACGUGAAAUCCCCAGGCUUAACCUGGGAACUGCGUCGGAUACUGGAUGGCUUGAAUCCGGGAGAGGGAUGCGGAAUUCCAGGUGUAGCGGUGAAAUGCGUAGAUAUCUGGAGGAACACCGGUGGCGAAGGCGGCAUCCUGGACCGGCAUUGACGCUGAUGAGCGAAAGCCAGGGGAGCAAACAGG
rnacentral:rRNA from 1 species